rnacentral:lncRNA from 15 species
AUGCUUGACUCACAGUUUGGAUUAAAUUGGGUGGAUCUGGAUGUUACAAAUGGGCAAAAUGCAAAAUCAAUCAAGAACUUCAGAAAAGAUCUGAAGAAAACACUGACAGACACUUUGAUCUCUGAGGUUGAGAACUUGAUGGACAGCGAAGGUGAAGAGCGCAGAGCCACAGAUGGAGAUCCAUCCAGUGAUUCACGCCAGGGUUCAAGCGUCAGAACACAGAUAAGCAAAUACUUUGAUGCCAUACAGGACACUGACACUGAUAAUGUAUUUGUCUUCUGGUACAAAAACCAAAACAGAUUCCCACAACUCCACAACUUCAAUUCAAUUAAAUUCAUUUCAAUUUUAUUUGUAUAGUGCCAAUUCAUAACAGAAGUUAUCUCAGGACACUUUUCAAAUAGAGCAGGUCUAGACCGAACUCUUUAUAACAUUAUUUAGA